GUGCAUGCUCCUGGUGCAUGAUUUGCAUGCAAACCUUGCUUGGUGCAUGCUCCCAGUGCACACGGCGCUUGCAAACUGUGCUCUGUGCAUGCUCCUGGUGGGCGUUUUGCAUGCAGAGGCACUCUGUGUGUGCUCCCAGCGUGCACUGGGCGUGCUAACUGUGCUCCAUGCGCGCUCACGGCGCGCACCGCGCAUGCAAAAGUGCUGCGUGCGUGCUCGCGGUGCACGUGGUGCGUGCAAACCCUACUCAGUGCAUGCUCACGGCGUGUGUUCUGGGCGCAAAACUGCUCGGGGCACGCUGAUGGUGCACGGUUUGCAUGCAAACCUUGCUCUCUUCAUGCUCACAGCGCACCUUCUGCAGGCAAACGUGCUCCGUGCACGCUCACGGUGUGCACUGUGCAUGCAAAAGUGCUCUGUGCAUGCUCACAGUGCCCAUGGUGCAUGCAAACAGCGCGCGGUGUACGCUCACGGUGCGCGUUUUGCAUGCAAAGGUGCUCUGUGUGUGCUCGCAGUGUGCACAGGGCACGCAAAACCUGCUUGGUGCACGCUCAGUGUGCAUUGCGCAUGCAAGCCUUGCUCCGUGCACGCUCCCGGUGCACACUGUGCUUGGAAACUGUGCUCGGUGCAUGCUCCUGGUGCACGUUCUGUGUGCAGACCUUGCUCUGUGCAUGCUCUUGGUGCAUGUGCUGGGCGCAAAACUUGCUCCGUGCACGCUCCCGGUGCACAAUUUGCACACAAACAUGCUCCAUGCGUGCUCACAGGGUGCACUGUGCCUACAGACCCUGCUCCGUGCACCCUCACAGUGCACACUGUGCUUGCAAACUGCGAUCUGGGCCCGCUCCUGGUGCAUGUUCUGCAUGCAAACCCUGCUCAGUGCAUGCCCCUGGUGCACAAUUUGCGUGCAAACCUUGCUUG
rnacentral:lncRNA from 1 species